UACGUAGGGGGCAAGCGUUGUCCGGAUUUAUUGGGCGUAAAGAGCGUGUAGGCGGCCAGAUAGGUCCGUUGUGAAAACUGGAGGCUCAACCUCCAGCUGUCGAUGGAAACCAUCUGGCUAGAGUCCGGAAGAGGAGAGUGGAAUUCCUGGUGUAGCGGUGAAAUGCGCAGAUAUCAAGGAAGAACACCCGUGGCGAAGGCGGCUCUCUGGAACGGUACUGACGGCUGAGACGGCGAAAGCUAGGGGAGCGAACAGG
rnacentral:rRNA from 1 species